rnacentral:rRNA from 1 species
UUUUGAUGGCGACCGGCGCACGGGUGAGUAACACGUAUCCAACCUGCCUCAUACUCGGGGAUAGCCUUUCGAAAGAAAGAUUAAUACCCGAUGUCAUAGUCCUACCGCAUGAUGGGAUUAUUAAAGAAUUUCGGUAUGGGAUGGGGAUGCGUUCCAUUAGUUAGUUGGCGGGUAACGGCCCACCAAGACAACGAUGGAUAGGGGUUCUGAGAGGAAGGUCCCCCACAUUGGAACUGAGACACGGUCCAAACUCCUACGGAAGGCAGCAG